rnacentral:rRNA from 1 species
GAACGCUGGCGGCGUGGAUAAGACAUGCAAGUCGAACGAGAUCAAUCGGAUUGGGUAACCAAUUUGAUUGUCUAGUGGCGGACGGGUGCGUAACACGUGGGAAUCUACCCUGAAGUGGGGGAUAGCUCGCCGAAAGGCGAAUUAAUACCGCAUGAUAAGGAAACUUCAAAGCUGGGGAUCUUCGGACCUGGCGCUUUAGGAUGAGCCCGCGGCCUAUCAGCUUGUUGGUGAGGUAAUGGCUCACCAAGGCUCUGACGGGUAGCUGGUCUGAGAGGACGAUCAGCCACACUGGAACUGAGACACGGUCCAGACACCUACGGGUAGCAGCAGUCGAGAAUCAUUCGCAAUGGGGGAAACCCUGACGGUGCGACGCCGCGUGGAGGACGAAGGCCCUAGGGUCGUAAACUCCUGUCACCAUAGAACAAGGUUCACGGAUUAAUACCCCUGUGGACUUGAUGGUAUAUGGAGAGGAAGGUCCGGCUAACUCUGUGCCAGCAGCCGCGGUAAUACAGAGGGACCAAGCGUUGUUCGGAUUUACUGGGCGUAAAGCGUGCGUAGGAGGCUGGGAAAGUCUGAUGUGAAAUGUCACCGCUCAACGGUGAAAGUGCAUUGGAAACUAUUCAGCUCGAGGAUUGGAGAGGAAAGCGGAAUUCCAGGUGUAGCGGUGAAAUGCGUAGAUAUCUGGAGGAACACCAACGGCGAAGGCAGCUUUCUGGACAAUUCCUGACUCUGAGGCACGAAGGCCAAGGGGAGCGAACGGGAUUAGAUACCCCGGUAGUCCUGGCAGUAAACGAUGCUCACUAGGUGUCGGUGGAUUCGACCCCAUCGGUGCCGUAGCUAACGCGUUAAGUGAGCCGCCUGGGGAGUACGAUCGCAAGAUUAAAACUCAAAGAAAUUGACGGGGCCCCGCACAAGCGGUGGAGUAUGUGGCUUAAUUCGAUGCAACGCGAAGAACCUUACCUGGGCUUGACAUGUUAAGCUCAUCCGCGGAAACACGGUGUCCCGCAAGGGAGAUUAUCACAGGUGCUGCAUGGCUGUCGUCAGCUCGUGUCGUGAGAUGUUUGGUUAAGUCCAGCAACGAGCGCAACCCUCGUGGCUAGUUAUACGCUUCGGCUCACUAGUCAGACUGCCCUGUUCAACGGGGAGGAAGGUGGGGAUGACGUCAAGUCAGUAUGGCCCUUAUGCCCAGGGCUGCACACGUACUACAAUGCCCAUUACAGAGGGACGCAAAACCGCGAGGUCGAGCCAAUCUCAGAAAAAUGGGCCCAGUUCGGAUUGGAGUCUGCAACUCGACUCCAUGAAGCCGGAAUCGCUAGUAAUGGCGUAUCAGCAACGACGCCGUGAUACGUUCCCGGGGCUUGUACACACUGCCCGUCACAUCAUGAAAGCCGGUUGUACCCGAAGCCGUUCUGCUAAC